UGAACACGGAAGACAACAGUCGCAAAAAUAAAUUUCCAAUAUUUGGAUUAAGUUGGAUUGUUUAGAAGAUAAUAAUAAGAUUUAUGCCAAAGCAGAAGUUUGUCGAGAUAUAACAAUCGUGUGAAGAUUUCAACGCCGUCGUUGGAUAAAAAAGUCAGACUAACGUGACUGUUUCAUCAGAUUAAAACAAAAAAAAAACACAUGGGGCUUGAACGUAAAUACUAUUGCAUUAAGGGAACCAUCCCACUGGGUUGUAUGUAUAUAGUGGUUCUUUCAUUAUCAGCAGCUGAUUUUAAACCAGCCCUUUUACGACAAGCACUAUAUGGCGAAACACUGUUAAUUGAAUGCAAUGCAACUGUGGACAUAACUUUUAAAUUCACCAGUUUAUGGAUGGAUAGUACAAUAAAUAUAGGCCAUUGUGAAAACAAUGUCCACAUGUGUUACAUAGAGAAAGGUGUAAGCAACGACAUUUACCGAAUAACACACACUGGUCAUGGCGGACGUCUACGUGUUUUGCCUUAUAAUGAAACUUGCGGGACUUAUACAUGUUGUGAAUCAUUCAAUCCCAGCCAAUGCACUAGUACGGCAGCAAGAUGUCCGCAUAUAGGCUUAACUACAGUCUCGCCAAGUUCAGAGAGUGUACUUAUCGAAAGCACAACGCAAGAAGAAGUCAUCUACGAUAGCUAUCAAUUGAGUGCACGACAUGCUUUUCCAAUGAUAGCUUUUCCAACGCUUGUAGCAGUCGUGAUAAUAUUGGACCGGAAAAUGAAAAAAAACCAAUGCAGACAGCCUCGAUGGUGUCGAUUAAAAAUCAUCACGACCUCUUAUAAUAUGAAAAAACAAACAUAUUAUGGAUAUUAUCCCGUGAGACCGGCUUAACUUUAUAACGUUCAGUGCUUUAGCUAUUUCGUCGCUAUCAAUAAGCGUGUUCAGUGUAUGAUUAUCAUUUUCGACGUUUAGAUCAGGAUCGAGUAUAUGAUUGAUUUUAUUGUAAGAGGCAUGUUUACAACAUUUCUUUGAAUAGUACAUCCUUUCAGUAAAAAUCGCUGGCUUGUUAAAAAUUACGCAUCAAUGAAUAUUUCCAAAACUCAUUUUGCUUGCCACGAAUAGUCAAAAUAUGCUCGAUCUGGUCGCAUCAGACUUCAUGUAACUCAUAUUGCACGACUAUUUUUUUUCAAGAUAUUUUCGUUUUAUAUGUACGUGUAACUCUGUGGGAAUAAGGCCUCGGAUUAUGAUCAAGAAUGCUUCUCUGUUUUUUUACAUACUUAUUUAAAUAUCAACGCUUCUCUUAAAAUAGUAACAAUGAAUGCGAUAGCAAUUUAACGUAAUAUUUUAACACAAUAAACAAUGAAAAAACAUCAUACAUUAAUGUAAAUUUUAAGUAACUUGUAAUUUACAGUUUGUCGAAAAUAAAUUAAUUUUAGAAGUAAUACAUAAAUCAAUAUAUAAAUAUCAAAUUCGGUGUAUCUCUUCAUUACUGCAUUGUACUCGCAAAUAUGAAAAAAUCAAUACCAAACAUACAUUAAACAUACAUAUUCAUUUUCUGAGCUCUACAAAAGUCGAACAAGUUUACAUAUUUGACUUGAGAUUCCUGUGAACAUAAGAGCUAGGUCUAGUAAUUAAAGUUCUAUCAUUUUUGUGUUAUCUCCCAAAAUGUGUCUGUCUAUAAAUGUAUGUCACUGCGAAACAAAAGUAGUUGUUACUUUAAACCGUUCGAGUUGAUCUUUUUUUAGACCCGAUUUUAAGACUAGACUUUAAAGCGGGUAUAUACGAUUUUUAUAUGUGCUAAAUUGUAAAAUAUUGAUACAAAUAUGUUAUAAUAACACACAAUUUGCAAGAAAAAUGAUACAUUUAAGACGAAUUUCAUAAAAUACAGCAAAUACAAAUUAGCGCCCCGAGCCGAUUGUGACGAAGAUAAUUCGUAAUUAUUUUCCUACAAUAACCGAUGCAUUCGUCUUUUUUGUAAGUGUUCAUGUGUCGUAUGAAUCGAUAUCGCUGCAGGAAUUUCAAAUGAACCGUUAAACUUAAUUUAGAUUCACAUCGUACAUGCAUGAUAUACAUGCUGGCGAAUUCGGCUGUACAGCCUUUUUCGAUUUGAGAAUUAAAUAUCUGGCUUAUUUAGCAUUUUUCGACACAUGUUCUUCUUAACUUUUAUUUUAGUUUAUAUUGAAAUAUAUGUAUAAUCAGUUUUUACACAUUUUAUAUUUAUUACUAAAUAUUUGACAAGAUCGUAUAUACCCGCUUUAAUAGCGAUAUGACAAUUUUAUUUAAAUCAUUGCUGUGAUGCUUAUGUUUUAUGCCAAGUGUAGACUAUUUCGUUAGAUACAUGUACAUGAUGAUUUUUGACAAUAGUUGAGAUGAUAUCAUUUUCUAGAUGACCAGACCAUAUCCAUUUACAACAAAACUCUACUAUAAUGGCAUUAUCGUGUUAGUAUACCGUUCUAUAUGUUUGAUAGAUGGACCUUAUUUUCUUGUUAUUUAUUGAUCUUUUUAAUAGUUUAUUACUUACGACAUAACUGCGCUAACAUUACUUGUGAAAUUUACUUAUUGCUCGUCGCGUUCUGGCAUUAAUGUUUUCAUUUUCUGUCUUCAUAGGUACAUAUAAAUAAAACCGUUAUACAUGCGCAUUUGGGUUAUGAUAAAUUAUGAAGUAAGUGUAAAGUUCGGCUAGCCCUUAAACCGAUUUAAACCCCGAAUGCUUUGUAUUUAUCGUUUCAAAGCGUCGAUCCAAGAUUUGAUAACUUAUGUCAAUAUUUGAUAUUCUGUUCUUAAAAAAUAGAUAAAAACUUAAAUGUUUAUCCUGAUAUGGUUUAUGGAGCUUUACGUGCUAUAUUCAAUGCCUCCAUGGUAUUUAUUGCAAAGGUCGCAUAAGUGUGAUUUUUUAAGAUUACAUCUGUAAGCGGUAAGACGCAAAAUAUUUUUGUAUUUUAAACAUCGCAGUGUUGUUAAGGUGAUUUGUUUGUGCACAAGUAUAUCGAGUAUAGUCCAACCGAACCCAUUAUUUUGCUAAAACAUUUGCCGCUUAUUUUCAAAAGUUGUUUGUAAAACUUUUAUUAAGGCAUGCAUAUUUAAAAUAUCUGCUUAUUUUCUUUAUAUGACUAAUGACAAAAACCGUUCAUCCACAAUUUCCAAGACAUAUUUCGGUGUUUUAUUUAUUAAAAUAUUGUAUUUGAAUAAAUAACUGUCAGUUGCAUUAGUGUUUUUACAAUCUGAGAAGUUGUAAAAAAUUUUAAUACGGAAAUCAAAUAGCCGAUCAAUAUUGUUGAUACAUUUAUCUAACAAAUCUGUUCAAAUUUUGUUAUAAAUCUUUAUCUAACAGUUAAUCAAUACUAUGCGUGUGCUUAAAUUUUUAUGGCACAUUUUACAUGCAUCCCAUAAGUUGAUAAUAUUUUCUUAAACAAAGUACGUUUUCCACAUUUAAGUGUUUAAUAUACUAUGUCUGUAAAUUUUAUUCAAAUAGCAAUUAACCACAAUAUGUCAGUAAUAUGUUAUCGUAAACGCAUUUUAUAAUACAAUUAAAAUAUAUUACAAUUAGUUUUACCAAACAGCCCUUUACAGUGUUUAGAAACAUUAAUAUUCCAGUAAACUACAAACCUCCAUUACAAUAAUUUAUCAUUAUUUUGUUACGUUCAAAGGGCUAAGUUCACGAAGGGUUGAAAUAUUCCCUAUAAAAGAAUUAAAUUAAUUCACUUUUAUCUUAAAGGACAAUCUAUUAAAUAUAGGGAAAAAAGCAGUUUUACAAUUAAUAUCGCUUUAUUAUGGUUGCUAUGGCAACAUGUUAAAUACACGUGAAUAUGUGUUAUGGUGAUAUGAAAAUCAAAUGUAUAUAUAUACCUGUUAUGUCUGUUACGUCCUUCAAGAAAUACAAUAUCUGCAUACUUGAAAA